GUUUCUGUCCUAUUUUCAUGCUUUAGCUGAUGGUUGGGUAGGAUUUGUUGGAUUGUUGCUCUAGGCCGCUUAAUUUGAAACCCUAAGUUUCGGCCGGAUUUUGAAUUUCAAUUCCGGCCACUUCUGGCCAUUUUUCGGGCUAUGUCCGAGAACAAAAGUGGCCCGAAAUGAUGUAUUCAACCUAGGGUAGGAACCUUGGCCCUUAGUUUUACGAAUUUUCCGGCGAUUGGUAUCGCUUUGGGGCGGCGCGUGGGGUACUGUAGCAGCCUGAAUUAGG
rnacentral:lncRNA from 1 species